GACGAACGCUGGCGGCGUGCUUAACACAUGCAAGUCGAACGGAAAGGCCCUGCUUUUGUGGGGUGCUCGAGUGGCGAACGGGUGAGUAACACGUGAGUAACCUGCCCUUGACUUUGGGAUAACUUCAGGAAACUGGGGCUAAUACCGGAUAGGAGCUCCUGCUGCAUGGUGGGGGUUGGAAAGUUUCGGCGGUUGGGGAUGGACUCGCGGCUUAUCAGCUUGUUGGUGGGGUAGUGGCUUACCAAGGCUUUGACGGGUAGCCGGCCUGAGAGGGUGACCGGCCAAAUUGGGACUGAGAUACGGCCCAGACUACUACGGGAGGCAGCAGUGGGGAAUAUUGCACAAUGGGCGGAAGCCUGAUGCAGAAACGCCGCGUGCGGGAUGACGGCCUUCGGGUUGUAAACCGCUUUCGCCUGUGACGAAGCGUGAGUGACGGUAAUGGGUAAAGAAGCACCGGCUAACUACGUG
rnacentral:rRNA from 1 species